rnacentral:rRNA from 1 species
AUUGAACGCUGGCGGCAUGCUUUACACAUGCAAGUCGAACGGUAACAGGGUGCUUGCACCGCUGACGAGUGGCGAACGGGUGAGUAAUGCGUCGGAACGUGCCGAGUAGUGGGGGAUAACGCAGCGAAAGUUGUGCUAAUACCGCAUACGUACUGAGGUAGAAAGUAGGGGACCUUCGGGCCUCACGCUAUUCGAGCGGCCGACGUCUGAUUAGCUAGUAGGUGAGGUAAAGGCUCACCUAGGCGACGAUCAGUAGCGGGUCUGAGAGGAUGAUCCGCCACACUGGGACUGAGACACGGCCCAGACUCCUACGGGAGGCAGCAGUGGGGAAUUUUGGACAAUGGGCGAAAGCCUGAUCCAGCCAUGCCGCGUGUCUGAAGAAGGCCUUCGGGUUGUAAAGGACUUUUGUCGGGGAGGAAAUCCCCAGCGUUAAUACCGCUGGGGGGAUGACAGUACCUGAAGAAUAAGCACCGGCUAACUACGUGCCAGCCGCCGCGGUAAAAC